AACGCGAAGAACCUUACCUACCCUUGACAUCCUCGGAAGCCGAAAGAGAUUUCGGUGUGCCUUCGGGGACCGAGAGACAGGUGCUGCAUGGCUGUCGUCAGCUCGUGUUGUGAAAUGUUGGGUUAAGUCCCGUAACGAGCGCAACCCUUGUCCCUAUUUGCCAGCGAUUCGGUCGGGAACUCUAGGGAGACUGCCGGUGACAAACCGGAGGAAGGUGGGGACGACGUCAAGUCAUCAUGGCCCUUACGGGUAGGGCUACACACGUGCUACAAUGGUCGGUACAAAGGGUUGCGAGUCCGCGAGGCCAAGCCAAUCCCGUAAAGCCGAUCUCAGUCCGGAUCGGAGUCUGCAACUCGACUCCGUGAAGUCGGAAUCGCUAGUAAUCGUGAAUCAGAAUGUCACGGUGAAUACGUUCUCGGGUCUUGUACACACCG
rnacentral:rRNA from 1 species